rnacentral:piRNA from 1 species
GGCAGUUCGUGUCUUUGAAAGUCCAACAGC